CAUCCACUCGCAAGAGUGGUGAAGACCUAGUGGCGAACGGGUGAGUAACACGUGAGAAACCUGCCCCGAAGACCGGGAUAACUCACCGAAAGGUGAGCUAAUACCGGAUGCCUUCACGACGUCUCAUGGCGAUGUGAAGAAAUGGAUUCCGCUUCGGGAGGGUCUCGCGGCCUAUCAGCUUGUUGGUGAGGUAACGGCUCACCAAGGCGACGACGGGUAGCUGUUCUGAGAGGAAGAUCAGCCACACUGGGACUGAGACACGGCCCAGACUCCUACGGGAGGCAGCAGUGGGGAAUCUUGCGCAAUGGGCGAAAGCCUGACGCAGCGAUGCCGCGUGCGGGAAGACGGCCUUCGGGUUGUAAACCGCUUUCAGCAGGGACGAAAUUGACGGUACCUGCAGAAGAAGCUCCGGCCAACUACGUGCCAGCAGCCGCGGUAAGACGUAGGGGGCGAGCGUUGUCCGGAAUUAUUGGGCGUAAAGGGCUCCUAGGCGGUUCAGUAAGUCGACUGUGAAAAUCCAAGGCUCAACCUUGGGACGCCAGUCGAUACUGCUGUGACUCGAGUUCGGUAGAGGAGUGUG
rnacentral:rRNA from 1 species